AUCAGUCGGCAACACAAACAAACACACAGCUGAGGAAUAAAGUGCAGCUCAACGAGCAGAGAAGAAGCUGCACUUCAGCCUUUAACAUCCACGACGUCCACUUUGGUUGAGUCAACACAGACGACAUACUGCAGAGUAAUGGCUUGUUUGCACAGUAGAAAAGUCAUUAGCCCGGGGGCCUCUGAGAAAACGCCUGCCGAAGCCAAAGCAGGGCUUCAGAGGGAAAAGGUGUUGAGAGAAACCUAAUCUGUGAGCGGGAUGGUGGGAGGAGGAGGUGGUGAGGAAAGGCUGGUGGCGGUCCGAAGGAAAAGGACCUCCUCGCCGCUCACAUACCUGACAUACCUCACAGAUUCUCACAAGCUGAUACCAAACAGAUCGCCUUAACAGAGAGCCCCGUAAACAAAGAAGGCAACUCAUUCUGAGUUUGGUCCAAAAAGCAGCCUGUACUUAAAUAUAGGUGUUACUGUUUGUAGACGACAAUCAGCUGGUAAAAAUAAAGUGCAUUUAUUAGUGGUGA
ensembl:lncRNA